CCCCUGGAGUUCCCGCAGAGACUCCGCGUCAUCGGGCGCUGGGGCUCCGCUAGGUCUCCUGGGGGCAUAUGAGUGCGCGCUUCAACUCCGAGCCCCCCUCAUCUCCCGCCGCUCCACGGUGGGCGUUUGGGGUGGCAGGGAGGGGACGGUUGAUGAGACUGAGAGGACUGUCCCCUCAGCCACGCCGCAGUGACGUCUGCAAGGGGUAGGGACACGGCGGGAAGGCCCUCCCCCUGCCCUUCGUAAACGGGGACCUAAGCCUGCGCUGGAGAGGGGCGCCUGAUGACUCCUCGGACUUUCUCAGCCCGAGGAGGACUGGACCUGCCCUGGGGGUGUCUAAAUCGGGGGUGGUAUGGCCCUCCCCUUGCAGGGUUAAACGUGGAGGGGAGACUGUGGCCCUGCCUUGGGAGCUGGGGUUUCCCCGCCUCGGCAACAGCCUUCUCCUUGUCUUCCACCUCCUGCCAUUCGCAGCGAGGACUCGCGCGAGCGCGCGCGCGCACACACACACACACACACACACACACGCACACACACACACACACACACUUUGGAAUCACCCGGACCCCCUCAAAACGGGUCUCGGCUCCCCACCCCGCUGGCCGCUGGGUGUCGCUAGAGUCUAGCCCACGGCGCGUAUUCCUGGCCCCGCGCUUGGUGGGGGGAAUCGUGGAGGGGUGGAAGGGGGCUUUCCUUGUCGUCACAGUCUGGGGCCACGCAUAGCCCCUCCCCGUUCGUCUUGGGGUACGCUUCCUCCGCCGGGGCUCUAAGGACUCCAUUACUCUAAGCAUGCAGGGCCUCGACCACCUCACACUUCCAUGCAUCCCAAUCCACGCUUUGAUACCAGGAUAAUAGGCCGUGUUGCAGCCUUGGGCCAGGAUUAUCUCAGAUUAAAGGGUGCUCCCUCGGGGGUCAGGCUGGAUAGGAGGAGCUCCAGCCACUCCGGUGAGGGGCGCCUCUUCCUAGUCUCCCCUGGAGCCGACGUUGGAGGCAGUGCCUGGAGAGAGCGAGCGAAGUUCUCCAGAAGGGGGAGGAUUCCCCGGUGCAUGGAGCGGGAAGGGCCAUCGGACAAAAACGUCCUCCCGC
rnacentral:lncRNA from 10 species